UCAAAUUUGAAAUCUGACGCAAGUCCGAGUUGUAAUUUGAAGAAGGUAAUUUUUGGGGAGAUGUGAACAAAAGUUCCUUGGAACAGGACGUCAUAGAGGGUGAGAAUCCCGUUUUGUUUACCUCUCUCUCCUUGUAAAAUGCUUUCGAAGAGUCGAGUUGUUUGGGAAUGCAGCUCUAAGUGGGUGGUAAAUUCCAUCUAAAGCUAAAUAUUGGCGAGAGACCGAUAGCGAACAAGUACAGUGAUGGAAAGAUGAAAAGAACUUUGAAAAGAGAGUGAAAAAGUACGUGAAAUUGUUGAAAGGGAAGGGUUUUAAGGGAGACUUGGGAGGUAACGAACAAUUUUCUUUCGGGAAGGUGCACUCGUUGCUUUCUAGGCCAAUAUGGAUUUGAAGAGUGGGAUAAAAGGAUAGGAAUGUAGCCACUCGUGGUGUUAUAG
rnacentral:rRNA from 1 species